ACGUAGGGGGCAAGCGUUAUCCGGAAUUAUUGGGCGUAAAGAGUGCGUAGGUGGUUUUUUAAGCGUGAGGUGAAAGGCAAUAGCUUAACUAUUGUAAGCCUUGCGAACUGGAAGACUUGAAUGCAGGGGAGGAAAGUGGAAUUCCUAGUGUAGCGGUGAAAUGCUUAGAUAUUAGGAGGAACACCAAUUGCGAAGGCAGCUUUCUGGACUUAAACUGACACUGAGGCACGAAAGCGUGGGGAGCAAACAG
rnacentral:rRNA from 1 species